ensembl:lncRNA
GGUAAGCCACAGGUGCCUGUUAAGGACGACCAUGAACCCCAUGGAACGGCCGAUGGCUUGAGCAGAGCGCUUAGUAGCCAUCAGCGCGAGAUCAGUUGCCGCGCGCAGAUCCCUGAUGACGUCAGCGCCGACUGCGCCGCCGUCGAGGGAUUGAAGCAGUUUCGCCUGGAACACCUGCAGUAUAGCCAUAGCGUGAAGAGCAGAAACUGCCUCCCCUGCAGCAGCAUAGGCUUUGUCCGCCUGGUGGGCCGUGAAUCUGCACGGCUUGGAAGGCAGGCUGCGGUCCGAACCCAACGCAGAGGAAGACGGGCACAGGUGCGCGGCAACAGUCUCCUCGACGGGGGGCAUGCGCACAUACCCGUGGGCUUCCGCCCCGUCCACGUGUGCAAACAUAGCCUGCGUGGCAGAGUGGGUGCGCGCCGAUUGGGGUGCAGCCCACGACUUCACCACGUGCUCGUGCACGUCUGGGAAGAACGGGGUUCUUCUCCUCGGUGCGGCCUGGCGGCGGCUCGACUGGAGGAACCACGAGUCCAGCUUACUUUUCACAGGCUCGUCAGGUGCGUUCCAAGCGAGGUCCAGCUCCGUGACGGCCUUGCUGAGGACCCUGACGAGCUCCUCCUGGAGGUCUGCAGGGCCCUCUUGGUCGGGGCGGUCCGACUGAGACCCCCAAUCCUUUUCCGACGCCGAGAGCGACAUGGAGUCGUCUUCCUCGCCAGCUUCUUCGAAGGCGACGAAGUUCGCGACGGUGUUGGGGGGGCGGAAGCUAACUUCCGCGAAGUUGACGUCGUCGAACUCGACCUCGGGCGGGGGAGGGCCCACCAGCGGCUCGCUGGCGGCAGUGGGCCUCAUCCCUGCUGUUGCCCGAGCCACUUCUCUCCUGGCUCUGAGGGCGCGCACUGGCAGCUCGGCGCAGUGGGCGCACGUGUCGUCCGUGAGUGCCGCCUCCGCGUGGGCGAGGCCCAGGCAGGUGACACAGAACUGGUGAAGGUCGGGCGGGUCAAUGGGACCCGCGCAAAUCUGGCAUGUUGCAGCCAUCGGAUACAGAGAGGAAAAAACUGGGGUGAGUAG